rnacentral:rRNA from 1 species
UACGUAGGGUGCAAGCGUUGUCCGGAAUUAUUGGGCGUAAAGAGCUCGUAGGCGGUUUGUCGCGUCUGCUGUGAAAACUCAGGGCUUAACCCUGAGCCUGCAGUGGGUACGGGCAGACUAGAGUGUGGUAGGGGAGAUCGGAAUUCCUGGUGUAGCGGUGAAAUGCGCAGAUAUCAGGAGGAACACCGGUGGCGAAGGCGGGUCUCUGGGCCGAUACUGACGCUGAGGAGCGAAAGCGUGGGGAGCGAACAGG